AUUCCGUGACGCAGCUAACGCAUUAAGUUCCCCGCCUGGGGAGUACGGCCGCAAGGCUAAAACUCAAAGGAAUUGACGGGGACCCGCACAAGCGGCGGAGCAUGCGGAUUAAUUCGAUGCAACGCGAAGAACCUUACCAAGGCUUGACAUACACGAGAACACCCUAGAAAUAGGGGACUCUUUGGACACUCGUGAACAGGUGGUGCAUGGUUGUCGUCAGCUCGUGUCGUGAGAUGUUGGGUUAAGUCCCGCAACGAGCGCAACCCUCGUUCUAUGUUGCCAGCACGUAAUGGUGGGAACUCAUGGGAUACUGCCGGGGUCAACUCGGAGGAAGGUGGGGAUGACGUCAAAUCAUCAUGCCCCUUAUGUCUUGGGCUUCACGCAUGCUACAAUGGCCGGUACAAAGGGCUGCAAUACCGUGAGGUGGAGCGAAUCCCAAAAAGCCGGUCCCAGUUCGGAUUGAGGUCUGCAACUCGACCUCAUGAAGUCGGAGUCGCUAGUAAUCGCAGAUCAGCAACGCUGCGGUGAAUACGUUCCCGGGUCUUGUACACACCGCCCGUCAAGUCAUGAAAGUCGGUAACACCUGAAGCCGGUGGCCUAACCCUUGUGGGGGGAGCCGUCGAAGGUGGG
rnacentral:rRNA from 1 species